UGGCAUAUACAAAACGAGGACAAAUUGCAUAACAGAGUAACCAAGUGGUCUGCUGGUUUUGAAUAAUUUUUGUAUUGCCCUGGAAAAUGGUGCUUUGGUUGUUGACAUGAACUUUGUCCUACAACAGGCCACCUACGGUCACUUCAUAGCGUUUAUUAAAACUUCCAUUACUCUGCAGAGAACGUGAGAACCUUUUAACACGAGGCAUCAAAAUGAACGUCCCCAUACCGGAUGCGACUGCGUAUAUAUACAUUCUAAACAAUCAAGCAUAUCCAAAAUAUGCAUUGGUUUUACUGUCUGAUUGGAGAACUUAAAC
rnacentral:lncRNA from 1 species